CCUACGGGUGGCAGCAGUGGGGGAUAUUGCACAAUGGGGGAAACCCUGAUGCAGCGACGCCGCGUGAGUGAAGAAGUAUUUCGGUAUGUAAAGCUCUAUCAGCAGGGAAGAAAAUGACAGUACCUGACCAAGAAGCCCCGGCUAACUACGUGCCAGCAGCCGCGGGAAUAUGUAGGGGGCAAGCGUUAUCCGGAUUUACUGGGUGUAAAGGGAGCGUAGACGGUUAGGUAAGUCUGGAGUGAAAGCCGGGGGCCCAACCCCGGGACUGCCUUGGAAACUGGGUAACUGGAGUACAGGAGGGGUAGGCGGAAUGCGUGGUGUAGCGGUGAAAUGCGUAGAUAUCACGAAGAACACCGACGGCGAAGGCGGCCUGCGGGACUGAAACUGACGCUGAGGCUCGAAAGCGUGGGGAGCAAACAGGAUUAGAUACCCCAGUAGUC
rnacentral:rRNA from 1 species